UACGUAGGGUGCAAGCGUUGUCCGGAAUUAUUGGGCGUAAAGAGCUCGUAGGCGGUUUGUCGCGUCUGCCGUGAAAGUCCGGGGCUCAACUCCGGAUCUGCGGUGGGUACGGGCAGACUAGAGUGAUGUAGGGGAGACUGGAAUUCCUGGUGUAGCGGUGAAAUGCGCAGAUAUCAGGAGGAACACCGAUGGCGAAGGCAGGUCUCUGGGCCAUUACUGACACUGAGAAGCGAAAGCAUGGGGAGCGAACAGG
rnacentral:rRNA from 1 species